rnacentral:rRNA from 1 species
AGCUCCAAUAGCGUAUAUUAAAGUUGUUGCGGUAAAAGCUCGUAGUUGGAUUUCUGUUGAGGAGGGCCGGUCUGGGCUACGCCCAUGUAUCUGGUUCCACCUCGGCAUCCUCUCGAUUUGGAUUCCUGCGCUUAGUUGCGUGGGGUUUGUAUCGGGACUUUUACUUUGAGGAAAUUAGAGUGUUCACGGCAGGCUAUCGCCAGAAUACAUUAGCAUGGAAUAAUACUAUAGGAUCUCGGUUCUAUUUUGUUGGUUUCUAGAAUCGCGAUAAUGAUUAAUAGGGACAAUUGGGGGCAUUCGUAUCAACACGUCAGAGGUGGAAUUCUUGGAUUGUGUUGCGACGAACUACUGCGAAAGCAUUUGCCAAGGAUGUUUUCAUUGAUCAAG